UAAGCUAGUAAGACCCCUUGAAGACUACAAGGUUGAUAGGUCAGAGGUGUAAGUGCGGCAACGUAUUUAGCUGACUGAUACUAAUAGGUCGAGGGCUUGACCAAUAUA
rnacentral:rRNA from 1 species